GUUGCUCAUUGCAGAAGUCACGUGCUGAGUGUCCAGUUACUUAAUGGCCCUUCUCGGGGAAGGUCUGAGACAAGAGCCAAUCAUCUUUCCUUGCAGGGUAUCACCUGAUAAGGGUGGAGUGGUGGUUCUGUGGCUAAGGAUCUCCACUGGUAUCUGGAAUGGGAUUUCAACCAGAAAGGAUUCUAC
rnacentral:lncRNA from 1 species